CCCUCCGAAGUUUCCCUCAGGAUAGCUGGUGCAUUUUAAAAUUAUGUAAAAUAAUCUUAUCUGGUAAAGCGAAUGAUUAGAGGCCUUAGGGUCGAAACGACCUUAACCUAUUCUCAAACUUUAAAUGGGUAAGAACCUAACCUUUCUUGAUAUGAAGGUUCAGGUUAUGAUAUAAUGUGCCCAGUGGGCCACUUUUGGUAAGCAGAACUGGCGCUGUGGGAUGAACCAAACGUAAUGUUACGGUGCCUAAAUUUACAACUCAUGCAGAUACCAUGAAAGGCGUUGGUUGCUUAAAACAGCAGGACGGUGGACAUGGAAGUCGUAAUCCGCUAAGGAGUGUGUAACAACUCACCUGCCGAAGCAACUAGCCCUUAAAAUGGAUGGCGCUUAAGUUGUAUACCUAUACAUUACCGCUAAAGUACAUGANUUAUAANACANUUUCGGNUGUUUUUNUAANUUUUGAAACUUUAGGGAG
rnacentral:rRNA from 1 species